rfam:Dialister sp. CAG:588 genomic scaffold, scf137
UAAACCCUGCUGUGCACGUACAGCUUGAAUAUUUUGAACCAACACCUUUACAUAGGGAGUUAGAGCUGAGGGAUAGCGUUAAUGCCCUGAAGUGGGGACUAGUAAAGUCCUUCAUGAUGACGCCCACCUGCAUUUUUGCAGUCUCAAAAUACGGGUAAUACGACAUGGUGGGGAUAAA